rnacentral:tRNA from 1 species
GGAGAGGUGGCGGAGUGGUCAAUCGCAACGGUUUCGAAAACCGUGACUCUUUCGGGUCCCGUGGGUUCGAAUCCCACCCUCUCCGCCA